UACGUAGGGUGCGAGCGUUGUCCGGAAUUACUGGGCGUAAAGAGCUCGUAGGCGGUUCGGUUAGUCGGGUGUGAAAACUUUGGGCUCAACCCAAAGCGUGCACUCGAUACUGCCGUGACUAGAGUUCGGUAGGGGAGUGGGGAAUUCCUAGUGUAGCGGUGAAAUGCGCAGAUAUUAGGAGGAACACCGGUGGCGAAGGCGGGUCUCUGGGCCGAUACUGACGCUGAGGAGCGAAAGCGUGGGGAGCGAACAGG
rnacentral:rRNA from 1 species